rnacentral:lncRNA from 1 species
UGUCACGACCCAGAACUCCCCAUCGGGCCCGUGACAACCGCCGCGAGGCCUCGACAGACAUUCUUCACCCCGAAUGCCGAUUGAAACCUCGCAAGGCUUAGCAUCAACUUCCGCAUCUCCCCGGUGAGCAACAAUUAUUAAAUCUCGUAUUUCAAAAAAAUCAUAAGUCAUUUUCCAAUAAGAACAAUAAAAUAUUAUUUUUUGGCUCACAGAGGUAUUUUCGUAAUUUUUCGUCAAAAAUCUCAAAACUUGUUAAAAAUGUAGUAGGUAAGCAGAAAAUAUAUAUUUAAUGAUUUAAAAACAAUUAAGUAUCUAAAACGUUCAUUUGAAAGCAAAUUGUUGACAACUAGUAGUAUUCAAAAAUAAUAAAUAAGAUAUUCUAUUUUCUCAUAAAAUAAAUUUUUAUAGAAAUAUUCGUAAAUAAUUUUUCGUACAUGAAAGUAAAAUAAAAAUUGUAUGAAUAGAAAUACAAAUAACCAAAAUAUAAGUUUUGAUCUGCACUGACACGUGGGCUCCAAUUGACCAAGAGGCUGUAAGACUGUGAACUCUUACUUUUUAUAAUGCAGUUUCGAGCUUAGUUCUCGUCCUACUCGACUAUCUACAAACUGUCCUGAGCCUGAAAAAUGUAUAGGAAGAAAGGGUGAGAUUAUAAAAUCCCAGUGAGUAAACAGAUACCAUCUAAACUAUCUAAAGUUGAGUAAAUGGAGACAAUUAAAAUAAAUCAUCAUACUGUAAUUUCAUUACCUUUCAACUCAUUUCAAC